rfam:Cyanobacteria bacterium 13_1_40CM_2_61_4 13_1_40cm_2_scaffold_306744, whole genome shotgun sequence.
GAAGGGAGGCCCUUCGAAGUCGCCCUGGAGGGGCAGGCUUCAAACAGCCAGAAGCUGCUGCGGACAAAAGCCGUGGUGGUGAACGUUCUGGUGCAAAGGCGUGACCGUGAACACGUCAUG